UACGGAGGAUGCAAGCGUUAUCCGGAAUGAUUGGGCGUAAAGCGUCCGCAGGUGGCUAUGUAAGUCUGCUGUUAAAGAGUGAGGCUCAACCUCAUAAAAGCAGUGGAAACUACAUGGCUAGAGUGCGUUCGGGGCAGAGGGAAUUCCUGGUGUAGCGGUGAAAUGCGUAGAUAUCAGGAAGAACACCGGUGGCGAAAGCGGCUUGCUGGACCUGGUCUGACGCUGAGGCGCGAAAGCGUGGGGAGCGAACAGG
rnacentral:rRNA from 1 species